rnacentral:sRNA from 4 species
UGUAUCUGAAACCUGACGAGGAUGAGAACCUCCGGGGGCAAGAGGUUCGACCCGAGCGAAGCGAGAGAACGUUGCGUCAGCAACGGCCCGCAGUGGCAAGUCAUCCUCUGUCACCGGCA